rnacentral:rRNA from 1 species
AUUGAACGCUGGCGGCAUGCCUUACACAUGCAAGUCGAACGGCAGCACGGGUGCUUGCACCUGGUGGCGAGUGGCGAACGGGUGAGUAAUACAUCGGAACAUGUCCUGUAGUGGGGGAUAGCCCGGCGAAAGCCGGAUUAAUACCGCAUACGAUCUACGGAUGAAAGCGGGGGACCUUCGGGCCUCGCGCUAUAGGGUUGGCCGAUGGCUGAUUAGCUAGUUGGUGGGGUAAAGGCCUACCAAGGCGACGAUCAGUAGCUGGUCUGAGAGGACGACCAGCCUGAGUGGAACGAUACCGGGCCGAAGUCUCCGGAUGGAGUGAACGGUGGGGAUUUUGGGACAGGGGGGAAAGGUCUGAUCCAACCGUCCCGCGAGAGAGAGAAAGGCGUUGGGUUGUGAAAGAUUUUUGUUGGGAAAAAAAGUAGUUGGCCCAAUCGGGGGGGGGGAAGGACAAUACCGAAAAAAAGAACCGGGGAUACCAUGGAG